UACAGAGGGUGCAAGCGUUGUUCGGAAUUAUUGGGCGUAAAGGGUGCGUAGGCGGCGCGGUAAGUCGGGUGUGAAAUCUCGGAGCUUAACUCCGAAACUGCAUUCGAUACUGCCGUGCUUGAGGACUGGAGAGGAGACUGGAAUUUACGGUGUAGCGGUGAAAUGCGUAGAUAUCGUAAGGAAGACCAGUGGCGAAGGCGGGUCUCUGGACAGUUCCUGACGCUGAGGCACGAAAGCGUGGGGAGCAAACAGG
rnacentral:rRNA from 1 species